CCUCCUUACGGAUGGCAUUCAUACGAGUGACUAAAUCUUUUCAAUUAACGAAUGAUCUAUUAAAGAACAAUUUGCGAAACUGCAAUAAUAUAUUUCAAAGAACAAAGAGUUAACUUUGAGGUUACUUAUUCAAGUAAUUAAGUGCUAAAGGCGGAUGCCUUGGCAUCUAGAGGCGAUGAAGGACGUUGUAACUUGCGAUAAGCCCCGGCGAGCCAGUACACAGGCUAUGACCCGAGGAUUUCCGAAUGGGGA
rnacentral:misc_RNA from 1 species